UUGAACGCUGGCGGCAGGCCUAACACAUGCCAGUCGAACGGUAACAGGAAGAAGCUUGCUUCUUUGCUGACGAGUGGCGGACGGGUGAGUAAUGUCUGGGAAACUGCCUGAUGGAGGGGGAUAACUACUGGAAACGGUAGCUAAUACCGCAUAACGUCGCAAGACCAAAGAGGGGGACCUUCGGGCCUCUUGCCAUCGGAUGUGCCCAGAUGGGGUUAGCUAGUAGGUGGGGUAACGGCUCACCUAGGCGACGAUCCCUAGCUGGUCUGAGAGGAUGACCAGCCACACUGGAACUGAGACACGGUCCAGACUCCUACGGGAGGCAGCAGUGGGGAAUAUUGCACAAUGGGCGCAAGCCUGAUGCAGCCAUGCCGCGUGUAUGAAGAAGGCCUUCGGGUUGUAAAGUACUUUCAGCGGGGAGGAAGGGAGUAAAGUUAAUACCUUUGCUCAUUGACGUUACCCGCAGAAGAAGCACCGGCUAACUCCGUG
rnacentral:rRNA from 1 species